GUUUGUGGCCACGCCACCCUGAACGACCCUGAUCCCAUCUGACCUCGGACGCUAAGCAAGGUCGGGCCUGGUGAGUACCUGGAUGGGAGGCCACCUAGGAAGACCAGGUGCUGUAGGCG
rnacentral:rRNA from 1 species